rnacentral:rRNA from 1 species
GAUGAACGCUGGCGGCGUGCCUAAUACAUGCAAGUCGAGCGAACAGACGAGGAGCUUGCUCCUCUGACGUUAGCGGCGGACGGGUGAGUAACACGUGUAUAACCUACCUAUAAGACUGGGAUAACUUCGGGAAACCGGAGCUAAUACCGGAUAAUAUAUUGAACCGCAUGGUUCAAUAGUUAAAGACGGUUUUGCUGUCUCUUAUAGAUGGAUCCGCGCCGCAUUAGCUAGUUGGUAAGGUAACGGCUUACCAAGGCAACGAUGCGUAGCCGACAUGAGAGGGUGAUCGGCCACACUGGAACUGAGAAACGGUCCAGACACCUACGGGAGGCAGCAGUAGGGAAUAUUCCGCAAUGGGCGAAAGCAUGACGGAGCAACGCCGCGUGAGUGAUGAAGGUCUUCGGAUCGUAAAACUCUGUUAUUAGGGAAGAAAAAAUGUGUAAGUAAAUAUGCACGUAUUGACGGUAACUAAUCAGAAAGCCACGGCUAACUACGUG